GAUGAACGCUGGCGGCGUGCCUAAUACAUGCAAGUCGAGCGAACGGACGAGAAGCUUGCUUCUCUGAUGUUAGCGGCGGACGGGUGAGUAACACGUGGAUAACCUACCUAUAAGACUGGGAUAACUUCGGGAAACCGGAGCUAAUACCGGAUAAUAUUUUGAACCGCAUGGUUCAAAAGUGAAAGACGGUCUUGCUGUCACUUAUAGAUGGAUCCGCGCUGCAUUAGCUAGUUGGUAAGGUAACGGCUUACCAAGGCAACGAUGCAUAGCCGACCUGAGAGGGUGAUCGGCCACACGGGAACUGAGACACGGUCCAGACACCUACGGGAGGCAGCAGAAGGGAAUAUUACGCAAUGGGCGAAAGCCUGACGGAGCAAAGCCGAGUGAGUGAUGAAGGUCUUCGGAUCGUAAAACUCUGUUAUUAGGGAAGAACAUAUGUGUAAGUAACUGUGCACAUCUUGACGGUACCUAAUCAGAAAGCAACGGCUAACUACGUG
rnacentral:rRNA from 1 species